GGAUGGGCGGAGUGCAGGCAGGAAGCUCCCCAGAGCGUAAGAACUGACAAUACCCACGUCUGUGCAUCGAGGUGGAGACGCCUGGUGGAGCCCCAGGUCCAGCCAGAAUCCUGUGCAGCGACCCAGGAUUGGCCUGCUUUGGCAAGAUCACCUGGAACUGACCCUGGGUCUGGAAAUAGCCGCCCUGAAGAUUCCAGACAGUGGCAGUGAGGCGGCACGGGGCACAUUGCUUCCUGCUUCCUUCAGCUGCAUUUGCCAGCGAGAGAUGGAAACCAGGCAAACUGGCCCUGGCUAGACCUGUGUCCAAGCGGCCCGUCUGGACCUGUCUCAAGAGGUGCUGCGGAUCUGUUGGUGGAUCACAGGUUGGUGCAGGUUGUGCUCAGGCUUCUCUCCUUCCUGUGAGUAUCUGCAGCUGCUACAGCAAAUAUCUCACAAGGGCCGGUGAAACAGAAGCACAUAUGCUCCUGCAUCUGCACAAACGGGCAGCGUUAUACAGAAUGGAUGUGACUGGCUGAAUGUCACCAGGCGGGGCCAGGGGAGUCGUGAAGAAUCCAAAUGAACCCUUCCGGACCUGGGCAAAUGGCCCUGGGAAGGUUACAGUGUGCGUUUCUCUGGGGGGAACAGGGAAGAGACAGCAGACCCUGACAGUUCCACAUGGGUGGCUGAAGCCUAUUCUGGCUCUGCUUCCUUCUGCUUCUGCGCAUCUUCCUGUACGUCCACUCUCACACAGGCUAGGUGGCCACGAACUUGGGGGAGAAGGGCUGCAUCAGUGUCAGAAUUGUGGUCCGGUCCUGACGCCCGGACGUCAGAGGAGGCCUGUGAUCUCUUUGCUUCUUUCCUAUGUUCCUUCCUCCUCUCUCUCCAUGGAUGUCCAGGCCCGUGCUCCUGUUCUCACAUAUACCCGUAAGAUGCUCAGCCCAGCCCUACUCUCAGCAUGUGGUAGGCACUCUGUGUUUGUCCAGUGAAUAAUAAACAGUCAUCUCAUUUUCCUCAG